CCGCCGCACUUCACCCCCUACCUUCAGCCACACCCCUCCCAGCGCCAUGUUUCUUCUCUCCCUUCCAUCUCCUCCUCUGCCCAUCCCCUUCCUUCUUCCCUGCAGCAAAAUAAGACGAGGAGGGGCACAAAAAGCUGGCGCGCGACGCGCCUUGGCCGCUGCAAGCAACCUUGCGGCAGUUGCGAGCGAACGCCAUGGCUAGCUUCGAGCGCUCCUCUCCAUGGUCGCCGCAGCCGAACGCGCUAGCCGCCAUGGCUAUCUUCUGAUUUCCAUCCGUGAGAGUUGCAUCCCGGACGACAGUGGUGGUGCUGGAGCCAUUCAAGCGAUGAGCUUGAACCGGCAAGGCCAGGACCUCACUGAGCGGAAAGCUGCAACCGGCCACACAAUAUGCUGGAAGCGGUGUUCUCUGGAGCUGGAACCAUCGUCCAUUUUUGCUGCAAUUAGCAACCGCCAGGGGGUGAAGAAGGCGACGUACGGUGCUACUACCAAAGAGUUUUUUUGCUGGAACCGGAUCCUGGAGAUGCUGGAACCAUCUCCUUUUUUUGCUGCAACCAGCAGCUGCCGGGGUGAAGGCGUCGAGGUGGUUCGAACUGAACGACGGUGACGAGCGGAGGCGCCGGCGGUGCCUCAGGGAUGUUGCAACCAUGGCAACUAGAGCUGGAACCGGCCGACGGGCGAGCUGUAGGCGUCAAUGUCAUGUGGCGGCCGAGGGAUGAGUGCAGCUGGCAUGGGUGACCGCACGAGCAAGAGACGAGUCCAUUUUGGUGCUGGGGCUGGCGGUGCAGCGACUAAUUCGGUCGAGGAGGAGCGGCGUCGCGGCGGGGGACCAUCUGUAGAUUUGGUCAACGGGCACGAGCAGGAGGAAGGGCAAGGGCGCGGGGUGAGCUGGGCGUCGGGCGAAAUCUAACGGCCCCGCAGCUCGCAUCGUAUGGCCGGCGCGUAUCAUCCCCCUUUCUGACGAUGAAAACAAAUCCGAGAGGCACCGGUUGGGCAACUACAUGCUGACGACGCGUGUAUCCUCUGAACAGCAUACAGUGUAUGUAUGCAAAAGGAAAUGGAACACCCGUCCGGACAAAAAGAUAUGUAUACAUCUGGAUCUACAUGACCCAUCCCAUCUGGAGACAGCAACUAUAAUUUGAACUAUCAUCAGUCUUUAUAUGCAAGCA